UUGCGAUUGUUGGCUUUUGGUCUUCUGUUAAAGGGAAUUAAAGGUCUCUCCCGAGCAUGAGGCUGUAACUGAUGCUAAACUGCAGCAAAGCUAACCCAACCGAGUGUAGGCUUGAUUAAUUUGGUGCUUGGCUCUGGGGCCAUAGUCGUGGGGCUGAUUUAUCCCUCUGCCUCCACCACCGCUCUUGUUUGCGCAGCCUCCCAAUUUUCUGGGCCCGGACUCAACAUCGUAGUUGAUUACUUUAUCAGCCCUCCUGUCACCCCCCCCCCCCCACCCCCCUCUUCUCUCUCCUCCACAAGUUAUAACUUCUCUUCAACAAAUCCUCUGCUGCUGAGCUCAAAAAGCCGCAAGGAGGACUGGCCUCUCGCUAUCAAUAAGUCAUAUAAAUAAAUCAUAUAAUGGAAUAAAGCUUCUUCUCAGUCUGCCCACUCGUACAGCGCUUGGGACCACCGAACGUGGGUUUCCUGGUUUACACUGGCGUCUGGCCUUUGUCCGCCCUCUGGCUCAUCCGCGACCGCGGGUUACGGGUUCUUCUUCCUGCACGGGCUCCAGGUCCCUGGCUCGGGUUUUUUUUUUGGGGGGGGGGGAGAUGGAUGGAGAUUCAUUUGGUUUCAUUAUAGCGGCUGACUUAUUUAUAGCCUGCCUGCGCAGCGCUUGUUGGCCCAGUGUGGCCCUGCAAGGAUGACGGGGGCUGAGGCGUUGGGGAAACAUUCCUGUGUCCAGGGGGUAUUCUCUAAAGGAGAGCAUUGCUUGUUUAAGGGGUGGGGGGGGGGCAGGGCGACAACGCAAGAAACCCCAGGCAAGGCCACUGGAAUCUAAUUCCACAAGCCCUGCCUAGCUACAGCAUUGCUCUUUGAGAUCUUUCCCCUAUCAAAAAGUCUCGCAUCCUGAGGUUGUUACUGCCUUGACCCCCCACGUAGCCCGCGGAUAUGAAAGAGAGAAAACUAUAUAUAAUACAAUGUUAUGUGACCAGGUCCUAUAAAAAUGCCUCCCCAACACACUUUGCUCUUUUCCUUAAGUACAAAUAGUUCGGAGUGCCACAGCGCCAAUCCCCAACUUUUAUCUGGAUCUCCCCCUUCAGCUUCAGAGAUUACCGCUUCACAACCCCGGAGCAGGGACGCUGUCUGCCUGGUAAUUUGAUGGCUAAUCCCCUGCCUCUUCCCUACAAAUCUCUCCCCUGAUAAAGGGGCUGCUUCUACAUUAGUAAACAUGGGAGACUUGGCUGCCCAGGCUGACACAUAGACAAGAGGACUGGUUGAGGAAAGCAGAAGUAGAGAGAUAACCAGUUUCAUAGGAAAGCCCCUUUGCAUCUCAUGGACUGGAAACUCACCUUAAACCGUGGACAUGCCGUUAGGAGCUCUGGUAAAGCAUCGUUUUACUCACCAUUUAAAAAAUGCAUGGUACAUUUUUGCACCAGGGCUUGAAAAUCCCCGCUGGCCAGUAUCUUACGAGGAUAAUGGUUGUAAUGGUUUGAUGGUGAUAUGCAAAUGUGCUGUACUUUACACAGAGCCGCCAUACAGUCCGCUGCUAAUGCGCAUUCAUUAGCCUUUGGACUCGAUUAUGUUACCCUAAUGAUCACUGCGCUGCGGCCUCGACUAGACAUGAUGGUUCACUUAAAAGGAAUUCCAAUUCCUCAGAUCUUCCUUCACGGGCUUCCAGCGAAGUACGCCGCCAAGCGCCGCUGGAUGGCCUGCUGUGAUCCUCGUAAGAGUAGUAUUAGGACACGUUAGCCUAUGCCCCCCCUCCGCGUCCACUGAAGCACUGAGCCUGGGAAUCAAAACUGACGCUCUGAGCCCAAACAUGCUCAGGCAAGUUAAACAGGACCCGGCGAGAUGGCGUCCAAACCAGUCACCGGAAUGACUUCAGCUUGAUGACGGCAACAUUAGCCGUGAUGGCUUUUCAUUUGCUGAACCGACAGAGGCACUUUAGGUGUCGGGGGGUGGGGGGGGGAUCUGGCGGGGUGAGCGACAGGUCCUGUCCCUGCAUGUCUUUGUACGCUCGUAUCGGCCCGGUGUUCACUCCAAUCGUCGUCUUGAGAGUGCGAGGACGUGUCAGGAGGAAUUUAGUGAGAUUUCUGUUUUCAGCCCGUCGCAGACCAGACAAACGGGUUCCACUGUGGGAAGUGUGGCUUUUGUGCUUUAGUUUUUUACUCUGUAGUGUUUGAAAUAUAUAUACAAUACCCGUAGUUUCAGUGGAAACUUUGAUAAAUGCACAUAUAUAUAUAUAUAUAUAUAUACACAUUCUUCUUACAUUUGAUUUAAAAACCCAAUUUGUUUCAAUAUAUUUGAUCACAACUCGUGUUAUCGUGAUGCAGAUUUUAUCGGCAAAUCCUUGCAGACACACAGCCUUUAUAUAUUAAUUAGUCAUAGCACUAGCGCCGCUGUUAUUUAUGGCUCCACAUUCCUUCUUUCAACUUGUGAUAUUUCCAGAAGUGGCCUAAUUCCUAAGUUUUACUGCGUCUAGUUCUUUUCACAAAUGGCAUGUUAAUUCUCCAGAGAUAGCAUCUCUGGCAUCUGCAAAAACAACGUCUUCCAUUCUUUUGCAGAACACUUGCUCUAAAUACCAGAAGUGGAUUUUCCACAAACAAUUUAUUCAUUAAUCAGUAAAAUCCCACAACUGCCAGUCAAUUUAGAAUUUCUCCAAGUGGCCGUGUAUGUGUGUGUGUGUGCAUGUUCCGUGUGUGCGAAUCCCUUGUUAGCGGAGCUGCAGAACAGUGACUCUACACUGGUGGUAAUUGAUAGUCUGGGAGCUGCCUCAGCUGCAGGUAAAUCCGAUCUGCAGCUCCGCUGGUCUUGCGAGGACUAAGGAUUCCACAACAACUAUCGGGUACGUCGGAGGGAAAGAGGACGAGGGGAGCAGAUAGUUGGAGAAAUGUUUAAUGUGCCAGAGGUUUUACCCUCUUGAGACGAGGGAAAUUUCCUCAAGAUCGCCGAGGCUUAAAUGUAGAUGGAGCACAGUGCAGAGGCUUAACUGUGGCUUUCGCCUCUUUUUGAAAUGUUUCCACCAGAUCGGCGGCGUGAACGAGAGCGAGAGAAAGCGAGAGAUUAGUCCUGGUGAGAGAUUCGCAGGUAGUAAUGAGGGCGGCGGUGGACCGCAGGUCGUGCGGCCUGUCAGUGUGACGGACCUCGCUACUCAGCUGGCAAUCGAUUGCACCGCUCGCGCCUUCUUCUGCCUGUUGUUCUUCACUCUUCCUGUCUGUCAACCUGCCCUCCACAAAGGGGAUGGGAGGGGGGGCGGGAUCUUCUCACAGACGACCGAUACAGUGUCCAGAUACCCUCUCAUUACCUGAACGGGGUCAUGAGGUGAGGAGGACUCCUCCAUCCAACUCGUUGCUGUUUGUUUCUGGCCAAUAAUCAACCUUUAGUUGGAGUAUUAAAUAACUCAUGUUUUAUAUAUAAGGGGGCUGGAGUCAUAGUAAAAAAAAACCUAUUGUUUUUAUUUGUUUUUUCUGUGUGGGUAAAUGAACUGUAAGCAUAUCUGAUAUUGUAACAAGAAAACCUUUGGUCGCUGCCGUUGUUACCAAUUGAUUAAUCCCGUCUCUGCUCACGCCGUGAAGGAAUAAAUGUUGGAUUAAACGCUCGGCAGGGACCGACUCGCCAGGGUCGCGGUGAGUUUACAGUACUGCAGCGUGCAGUUUUUUACCGUAGAGCAACGGACCGCAAUGUAGCCUCCGAAGAACGAGACAACGCGCGCGCCGCAUACUUCUUCCGCCCUUCAUCGGCUCGGCCCGGCGUACUCUGCACUCAUCUCCUUUGCAUUUUAAAUCCCCUCGCCUCCGGAGAGCGAUGGGGAUAUAUGGUUCCAUCUGCUCCAACAGACUGGCUGGUGGCUCAGACAGAGAGAAAGAGACAGCGAGGCAGACAUGGUCAGAGAGAGAGACAGAAACACAGUUGGACAGAAUGGCUUAUUAGAAUGUGCAUCUUUUCACCAGUUAGACCUUCAGCUGUCUGCAAUGAAAAGCAGAAAAGAAGUUGGAUUAGGAUCUGGAGAUCCCUCAUUUGCUCUGGCAGCGAGCCCACGUUAAAUCCGUUGGGUCUUAACUGAUUCAGCUAGACCAGGAGUCCUGGCUCUCCCCUGUGUGACACAUAGUUUGGUUUCGUUUCAGAAUAGGACAUAUUAUUUCUUCUUCUUCUCGUUUUCUCUUAUUUCUUUUUAAAAAAAAUGGAAGCUCGGGCUUCAGCCACCGACGCCAUCGGGUGCGCUUUUUCGGUUCCCCGCAUAAACCUCCCAGUCAUACAGGAAGGGGGCUUUUCGCGGCCCUUCCCUUUGUAAACAAUGGCUUUGUUACUCUGUACCUUGGACCAACAGACGCUGUUUUUCCCAGUGUGUUUUGAGCAGGAACAAUAAAGCCAUGGUGUCAAUAAACGCUUCCAUACCGGCCUGAAACCAUCCAGUGUAGUAUGAAACGACAUUACGUGGAAUAGAGUGAGUGUGGGCCACCGGGGGGGCAGAUCCUCGCCUCCGUGCUUGGUGGAUAUCGCUGCUGACACCAGGGUUCCUCAGAAUUAGAUUUGCAUAAAGGAACAUAUGGAGAUGAGGAGCUGCUCUCAUGCACUGCUGGACCAGCACAGGGCCACUACCCGGGAGCCCCUUCUGUGACUUUGUGUCAUUUGAAUUUCCCUGGUACGAAAAGGCAAAUCUUGGAACUGUAAACUGUAAAAGAGUUGGGACAUUCAAUACGGGGUGAACUCUUACAUGAAACCCCCACUAUGGUGUAUCAUUGCUACAAAAAACAGCAAUUCCAACCUGGCUUUAAGGUGGUUGCACCCACUGAUUUGCAUCAUUUUCUAUGGAAGGGUUACAAAGGGGACAGCGGAUUCUCUGCCUGUCCCACAGCA
ensembl:lncRNA